UACAGAGGGUGCAAGCGUUAAUCGGAAUUACUGGGCGUAAAGCGUGCGCAGAUGGUUGCGUAAGUCAGAUGUGAAAGCCCCGGGCUCAACCUGGGAAUUGCAUUUGAGACUGCGUAGCUAGGGUGCGGAAGAGGGAAGCGGAAUUCUCGGUGUAGCGGUGAAAUGCGUAGAUAUCGAGAGGAACACCUGCGGCGAAGGCGGGUUGCUGGGCUGAUACUGACGCUGAGGCGCGAAAGCCAGGGGAGCGAACGGG
rnacentral:rRNA from 1 species